rnacentral:rRNA from 1 species
UACGAAGGGGGCUAGCGUUGUUCGGAAUCACUGGGCGUAAAGGGCGCGUAGGCGGCCUGAUAAGUCGGGGGUGAAAGCCUGUGGCUCAACCACAGAAUUGCCUUCGAUACUGUUAGGCUUGAGACCGGAAGAGGUGAGUGGAACUGCGAGUGUAGAGGUGAAAUUCGUAGAUAUUCGCAAGAACACCAGUGGCGAAGGCGGCUCACUGGUCCGGUUCUGACGCUGAGGCGCGAAAGCGUGGGGAGCAAACAGG